GACGAUCAGUAGCCGACCUGAGAGGGUGAGCGGCCACAAUGGACCUGAGACACGGUCCAAACGCCGGCGGGAGGCAGCAGUGGGGAAUAAUGCACAAUGGGCGAAAGCCUGAUGCAGCAACGCCGUGGAAGUUAUGAAGGCCUUCGGGUCGUAAAACUCUAUCCUCAAUGAAAAUAAUGACGGUACUCGACGGGGGGGAGC
rnacentral:rRNA from 1 species